GGGCGGUUAAAGUGAUAAUCCAAUUAAAGAGAAUGAGAUACUUUAUUGAUGUUCUUGAUGAAAAUUUAUGCUUGGAAUUAUUGUGGACAGUUUUUUUUAGUUGAAGUUAAAGAAGAAGUCAACAGGAAAUAUUAUUGGGUAUCCAACCAAUUCCAAUAAGACGAAUAUUUGGACACGGCACACACAUACAGACGAACGUAUGCAGUGUACGUAUGUAUGAGGUAGCCUUUUCUAAUACGAACACGAAACGAAAAACGAUGAAGUCUAGAAAAUCUAACCAACGACAGCGACUGAGAGACUCUAACUAACUAAAUAAAAAUAACUGAAACUGAACAGUAACGGUAUGCUGGCUGGUGAGUUGUAGUUUUGGAUGUUGGACUAGUAUACAUAGUCUAACAGAAAAAGUUGUUGCCUCGAUCUAUCUGUGAACUGUGAGUGCUGAGACUGGAACUGGAAGUGACUUGAUUGAGUCACGAACGCAGGCACAAUUUGAUGUUGACG